CUACGGGAGGCAGCAGUGGGGAAUCUUGCGCAAUGGGCGAAAGCCUGACGCAGCGACGCCGCGUGGGUGAUGAAGGCCUUCGGGUUGUAAAGCUCUGUGGGGAGAGACGAAUAAGACGUGCCUAACAUCCACGGCGAUGACGGUAUCUCCUUAGCAAGCACCGGCUAACUCUGUGCCAGCAGCCGCGUUAAGACAGAGGGUGCAAACGUUGUUCGGAAUUACUGGGCGUAAAGCGUGUGUAGGCGGCCAGGUAAGUUGGAUGUGAAAGCCCCGGGGCUCAACCCCGGAAGUGCAUUCAAAACUGCUUGGCUUGAGUAUCGGAGAGGUUGGUGGAAUUCUCGGUGUAGAGGUGAAAUUCGUAGAUAUCGAGAGGAACACCGGUGGCGAAGGCGGCCAACUGGACGAAUACUGACGCUGAGACACGAAAGCGUGGGGAGCAAACAGGAUUAGAUACCCUGGUAGUCCACGCCGUAAACGAUGGGUGCUAGGUGUCACGGGCAUUGACUCCSGUGGUGCCGUAGCCAACGCAUUAAGCACCCCGCCUGGGAAGUACGGCCGCAAGGCUAAAACUCAAAGGAAUUGACGG
rnacentral:rRNA from 1 species